UUGAACGCUGGCGGCAUGCUUUACACAUGCAAGUCGAACGGUAACAGGCCUUCGGGUGCUGACGAGUGGCGAACGGGUGAGUAAUGCAUCGGAACGUGCCCAGAGGUGGGGGAUAACGCAGCGAAAGCCGUGCUAAUACCGCAUGUGAUCUGAGGAUGAAAGCGGGGGACCAAGCAGCAAUGUUUGGCCUCGCGCCUCUGGAGCGGCCGAUGUCAGAUUAGGUAGUUGGUGGGGUAAAGGCCUACCAAGCCGACGAUCUGUAGCUGGUCUGAGAGGACGACCAGCCACACUGGGACUGAGACACGGCCCAGACUCCUACGGGAGGCAGCAGUGGGGAAUUUUGGACAAUGGGCGCAAGCCUGAUCCAGCAAUGCCGCGUGCGGGAAGAAGGCCUUCGGGUUGUAAACCGCUUUUGUACGGAACGAAAAGGCUCUGGCUAAUACCUGGGGCUGAUGACGGUACCGUAAGAAUAAGCACCGGCUAACUACGUG
rnacentral:rRNA from 1 species